AUUGAACGCUGGCGGCAGGCCUAACACAUGCAAGUCGAGCGAGCGGCGGACGGGUGAGUAUUGUAUGGGAAUCUGCCCGCUGGAGGGGGAUAACUCCUGGAAACGGUAGCUAAUACCGCAUACUAUCUGAUGUCCCCAGAUGGGAUUAGCUAGUAGGUGGGGUAAUGGCCCACCAAGGCGACGUUCCCUAUCUGGUCUGAGAGGAUGAUCAAACACACUGGAACUGAGACACGGCCCAGACUCCUACGGGAGGCAGCAGUGGGGAAUAUUGGACAAUGGGCGAAAGCCUGAUCCAGCCAUGCCGCGUGUAUGAAGAAGGCCUUCGGGUUGUAAAGUACUUUCAGCGGGGAGGCGUUACCCGCAGAAGAAGUACCGGCUAACUCCGUGCCAGCAGCCGCGGUAAUUC
rnacentral:rRNA from 1 species